rnacentral:rRNA from 1 species
CCUACGGGAGGCAGCAGUGAGGAAUAUUGGUCAAUGGGCGCGAGCCUGAACCAGCCAAGUAGCGUGAAGGAUGACUGCCCUACGGGUUGUAAACUUCUUUUGUCAAGGAAUAAAGUGCAACACGUGUGCCUUUUUGUAUGUACUUUAUGAAUAAGGAUCGGCUAACUCCGUGCCAGCAGCCGCGGUAAUACGGAGGAUCCGAGCGUUAUCCGGAUUUAUUGGGUUUAAAGGGAGCGUAGGUGGGUUGUUAAGUCAGUUGUGAAAGUUUGCGGCUUAACCGUAAAAUUGCAAUUGAUACUGGCAGUCUUGAGUACAGUUGAGGUAGGCGGAAUUCGUGGUGUAGCGGUGAAAUGCUUAGAGAUCACGAAGAACUCCGAUUGCGAAGGCAGCCUACUAAACAGAGACUGACAUUGAUGUGCGAAAGUGUGGGUAUCAAACAGGAUUAGAUACCCCUGUAGUC